AGACGGACCCAAGCCGCCGGGACGGCGAGAACAACCAGACAAUCGCCAUCAUCGUGGGCGUCGUGAUCGCCGUCAUCAUCCUCGGCCUGGUCGUCUUCUUCAUCGUGGCCAGGAGACGGCAGACCAACAAGGAGUACAAGAGCGCGCCGACAAGGGAAGUCAAUACACCACAGGAGGCGUAAGGUGUCUCCGCCGCGGAGCCGGACCUACCGGCGCCCGGCGGUAGGUCCGUAGGAUCAGCCGGACCUACCGGCGCCCGGCGACCAGCUGUCAGCAGAUCCGGGCAGAUCCGAACCGCCGCCGACAGAUCCGGACCGCCGCCAGCGGAACGGGCUGCCGCUGUCGGCAGAUCCGGACCGCUGUCGACAGAUCAAGAUUGCCGACAAGCCGGGACAUCCACAGUCGUCAAACGGCCACCGCCACCAGAGCGAGACGGCAAGCCACUCGGCCUGUGUGCUGCCCCGGGGCUGACAGGCCAGCCCUCUGGCGGCUCGUCAAACGCGAGCAAACUAGAUUAGCCUUGCAGUUAAUUUCACCGGUACAAUCCGACGCUAGUUUAAAUGAGCGUGCACGUGUUUAGUUAUUAGGAAGAAUAGUUGCUUCACCUGUCACGUGUGGUGCUUGCUGCAUGUAUGUGCUUUUGUAGAAUAUGCUCUGUUACAUCUAAGCUAUGUAGCAAAAUACGCUUCCUUCCCGUAAUAAUAAUUUCAUAUCCUCGAAGGCGAUACUAUUUGGUGUACUCGGACAUAGUUAGGAAACAUAUCGCUGUUUCCGCGACACGCAUGCCGUAUUUUUGCCAAAGCAAUUUCAGACUGACGAUGGCAUCUUGUUUCAGCUAUCACACAAAUGUGCCGAAAUGUUCCGCAAAAUUGCCGUGUGUGUGUCGAAGAUUUUUCACUGCAAGUUGUUUAGCUAUAAUAACACCAUGCAAUUACUAAGAACACGUUCCGUAUGCUUCUAAUCAUUUUUCUACGUUAUAGUAUGAAGUGCGUCACUGUAUAAAUAGCAUCGAAGCGUCUUACGGCUUUUAGAAAAAUGAAAUAAAUGUUGUCCUACUCUG